AUCCUUUUUCAUGAGUGUCUUUAAAAAUGUGAUUAAAAGAUACAAUAAAAAUGAGGUGUUGUGUACAUGUACUAACGCUCCACUGACGAAGCCACUGUACUAAUAAAAAUGAAAAAAUGUUCAGUUAAAAAUAUGGUGGAUGCUGCUGCCAGGUAGAAACGAUGCUGUGUCCUCAUCACCUUCUGCACCACAUCUGGCCGUGUGUGACUUCGGGCUCGUCCUCGAAGUCUACAUGACCGUGGAAGAUUUGAAUCAGUUCAGGCUCUUGCCUGUAAUCCCAGCAUUUGGGAGGCUGAAGCAGGAGGAUUGUCGGGAGUGCAAGGCGAGGGUGGGCUACAGUGAGUGCAGGACUGACCUGAACUACACAGCAAGACCUUGCCUCAAAAAAAAGAUACCGCGGCAGCCAUGACGUCACAAUUAGACAUGAAAGAGGCCUUCCAGAACUGCCGCGGGAAGUGUCACACCUGUGUUCACAGACUGCAGGAUUACCUGGCGUAAUCUCACACUGAGCACAAAAGUGCCACGUGACUAAGGAUGAGCGGGGUCCUGUUCACACCACUUUACUUCCACACCCAGUGUCCGCUCCCCGACGCAGAAAGCACAGUUCACAGACCUGAGGUUCAUUCCUUUCUCCCAUGAAAAGGAGACUGGCCAGAAGGCAGACAAGGGAAGGAGCAGACAGAGUAAUUCACGGUAAUGAGCGAGCGAAGCAGAGCUGCGGCAAGCAGAGGCGGUGCGGCCUCCCAGGCACGCGGAGAACACCCGCUCCGGCCCAGUGUCCCCGUUAGCUGCCCAAACUGGCGGAACAGCAGCGCCACCUAGCGAAGCCUGAGCUGGGCGGGGGGCAGCCGCUCGCUGAACCGUGCGGCGAGUGUGGUACAGAUCUGAACUGUACCAAUAAAGUUCGUAAUGCAA